UAGUACGGCUAGUGAAGCGGGAACAGCUCAAAUUUGAAAUCUGGCCCUUGGGUCCGAGUUGUAAUUUGCAGAGGAUGCUUUUGGUGCGGUGCCUUCCGAGUUCCCUGGAACGGGACGCCUUAGAGGGUGAGAGCCCCGUACGGUUGGACACCAAGCCUAUGUAAAGCUCCUUCGACGAGUCGAGUAGUUUGGGAAUGCUGCUCAAAAUGGGAGGUAUAUUUCUUCUAAAGCUAAAUAUUGGCCAGAGACCGAUAGCGCACAAGUAGAGUGAUCGAAAGAUGAAAAGCACUUUGAAAAGAGGGUUAAAUAGCACGUGAAAUUGUUGAAAGGGAAGGAUUUAUGACCAGACUUUUUCUGGGGGGAUCAUCCGGUGUUCUCACCGGUGCACUUCCCCCAGUUGAGGCCAGCAUCGGUUUCUGUCGAGGGAUAAAAGCUUUAGGAAUGUGGCUCUCUCCGGGGAGUGUUAUAGCCUGUUGCAUAAUACCUUGACGGGGACCGAGGUUCGCGCAUUGCAAGGAUGCUGGCGUAAUGGUUAUUAAUCACCCGUCUUGAAACACGGACCAAGGAGUCGAACAUUUGUGCGAGUGUUUGGGUGUUAAACCCUCACGCGUAAUGAAAGUGAACGGAGGUGAGAGCCUUUAGGGGUGCAUCAUCGACCGAUCCUGAUGUCUUCGGAUGGAUUUGAGUAAGAGCAUAACUGUUCGGACCCGAAAGAUGGUGAACUAUGCGUGGAUAGGGUGAAGCCAGAGGAAACUCUGGUGGAGGCUCGCAGCGGUUCUGACGUGCAAAUCGAUCGUCAAAUCUGCGCAUGGGGGCGAAAGACUAAUCGAACCAUUGACCAGCGGUCAAAACAAUCACUAGGUGGUUAAGAGGGGGUCCGCGAGGACCAUUUGAAAACCUAGGCUGAGCCCGGUUACCCUGUAGGUUACCCUGUAGCUACCCUGUAGCUUACCUGGUAGCUUACCCGGUACCGGUCCGGCCGACACCGCUAAAUGCGGGACAUCCCUUUAC
rnacentral:rRNA from 1 species